rnacentral:lncRNA from 1 species
AGUCCAGGAACUCGAGUGAUCAUAAAUCUGUUGUGAUACUGAUAGUCGUCUUGUAUUACGGUAGUCAGUACUACCUCCUCUAUUAUUAGAUUGGACCCUGGGGAAAUGCAAAGGAAAGUGUGAGUCUCACCCACGAUGUUUUGGUACUAAGCAAGCCAAGCAUUUGGAGAAGAUCCUUAUCUUUGCUUAGCAGAUGGAGGGUGAGAUACAACUGUAAGUGCUGCCUAUAUGAAAGAGCUGAGCCACACCAUCCAGUAAACUGUCUAGAGCAGCAGUUGGCUUGCUUGGAAAUCACUUCCAGGACUGCAUUGUAAGUUGCUCCAGCUGAGUUGCCAGAACACUGCCCUAGAGAACUUUGGAGGGUCACUUCUUAAUGGAUUGCUGCAGCCUCUUCAUUUCUCCAUUGAUCCUGUUCCCUGCAUCGUGAGAACAUUUUAGCCAGCACAGAACCUAGAAAAGUUACAUGUAAGUCAUGAUUCCAAUUCCUUUCUAUUUAAAGAAAAAAACUAAAGAAGAAAGGGGAAAAAAAGAUCUUGGGAAGGCAGGGUAGAGGAAAUAAAUAUCACACUUUAGAAAAACGCUAUAAAAGC